CCUGGAGAUAGCUGGGUCUCUCCGAAAUAGCUUUAGGGCUAGCCUCAAGUGAUGAUUAUUGGAGGUAGAGCACUGUUUGGACGAGGGGCCCCUCUCGGGUUACCGAAUUCAGACAAACUCCGAAUGCCAAUUAAUUUAACUUGGGAGUCAGAACAUGGGUGAUAAGGUCCGUGUUCGAAAGGGAAACAGCCCAGACCACCAGCUAAGGUCCCAAAAUAUAUGUUAAGUGGAAAAGGAUGUGGCGUUGCCCAGACAACUAGGAUGUUGGCUUAGAAGCAGCCAUCAUUUAAAGAGUGCGUAAUAGCUCACUAGUCGAGUGACACUGCGCCGAAAAUGUACCGGGGCUAAACAUAUUACCGAAGCUGUGGAUUGUCCUUUGGACAAUGGUAGGAGAGCGUUCUAAGGGCGUUGAAGCAUGAUCGUAAGGACAUGUGGAGCGCUUAGAAGUGAGAAUGCCGGUGUGAGUAGCGAAAGACGGGUGAGAAUCCCGUCCACCGAUUGACUAAGGUUUCCAGAGGAAGGCUCGUCCGCUCUGGGUUAGUCGGGUCCUAAGCUGAGGCCGACAGGCGUAGGCGAUGGAUAACAGGUUGAUAUUCCUGUACCACCUAUAAUCGUUUUAAUCGAUGGGGGGACGCAGUAGGAUAGGCGAAGCGUGCGAUUGGAUUGCACGUCUAAGCAGUAAGGCUGAGUAUUAGGCAAAUCCGGUACUCGUUAAGGCUGAGCUGUGAUGGGGAGAAGACAUUGAGUCUUCGAGUCGUUGAUUUCACACUGCCGAGAAAAGCCUCUAGAUAGAAAAUAGGUGCCCGUACCGCAAACCGACACAGGUAGUCAAGAUGAGAAUUCUAAGGUGAGCGAGCGAACUCUCGUUAAGGAACUCGGCAAAAUGACCCCGUAACUUCGGGAGAAGGGGUGCUCUUUAGGGUUAACGCCCAGAAGAGCCGCAGUGAAUAGGCCCAAGCGACUGUUUAUCAAAAACACAGGUCUCUGCUAAACCGUAAGGUGAUGUAUAGGGGCUGACGCCUGCCCGGUGCUGGAAGGUUAAGAGGAGUGGUUAGCUUCUGCGAAGCUACGAAUCGAAGCCCCAGUAAACGGCGGCCGUAACUAUAACGGUCCUAAGGUAGCGAAAUUCCUUGUCGGGUAAGUUCCGACCCGCACGAAAGGCGUAACGAUUUGGGCACUGUCUCAACGAGAGACUCGGUGAAAUCAUAGUACCUGUGAAGAUGCAGGUUACCCGCGACAGGACGGAAAGACCCCGUGGAGCUUUACUGUAGCCUGAUAUUGAAAUUCGGCACAGCUUGUACAGGAUAGGUAGGAGCCUUUGAAACGUGAGCGCUAGCUUACGUGGAGGCGCUGGUGGGAUACUACCCUAGCUGUGUUGGCUUUCUAACCCGCACCACUUAUCGUGGUGGGAGACAGUGUCAGGCGGGCAGUUUGACUGGGGCGGUCGCCUCCUAAAAGGUAACGGAGGCGCUCAAAGGUUCCCUCAGAAUGGUUGGAAAUCAUUCAUAGAGUGUAAAGGCAUAAGGGAGCUUGACUGCGAGACCUACAAGUCGAGCAGGGUCGAAAGACGGACUUAGUGAUCCGGUGGUUCCGCAUGGAAGGGCCAUCGCUCAACGGAUAAAAGCUACCCCGGGGAUAACAGGCUUAUCUCCCCCAAGAGUUCACAUCGACGGGGAGGUUUGGCACCUCGAUGUCGGCUCAUCGCAUCCUGGGGCUGUAGUCGGUCCCAAGGGUUGGGCUGUUCGCCCAUUAAAGCGGUACGCGAGCUGGGUUCAGAACGUCGUGAGACAGUUCGGUCCCUAUCCGUCGUGGGCGUAGGAAAUUUGAGAGGAGCUGUCCUUAGUACGAGAGGACCGGGAUGGACAUACCUCUGGUGUACCAGUUGUCGUGCCAACGGCAUAGCUGGGUAGCUAUGUGUGGACGGGAUAAGUGCUGAAAGCAUCUAAGCAUGAAGCCCCCCUCAAGAUGAGAUUUCCCAACUUCGGUUAU
rnacentral:rRNA from 1 species